rnacentral:tmRNA from 1 species
GGGGCCGAAUUGGUUUCGACCGGGCGUGUGACGCCCGGCGUGGCGUGUCGAGGAGCCUGCUGGCCUCGUAAAAAGUAGGCACAAAUUUAGUUGCCAACAGCAACUACGCUCUGGCGGCCUAAUUAGGCCGUCCGGCUUCCCCCCGACGCCCGGUGGGGGGGAAACCGAAAACACCGGGCUGGCGGAGAUGUGUCGCUGCCGAGCAUCACCCGCGAGAUACUUCGGCGGCUGCUCCCUCCCGAACGGCGCCGCUGCCGGUCGAUGGGCCGACGAUAAACCAGCGGAUACACACGUAGAGGCGCCGAGCUGACCGUCCCGGCACGGGGGUUCGAUUCCCCCCGGCUCCAUUC